rnacentral:tRNA from 1 species
GCCCAGAUGGCGGAAUUGGUAGACGCGCAGGUUUCAGGUACUUGUGCCGCAAGGCGUGGAGGUUCGAGUCCUCUUUUGGGCACCA